CACCAUACAAAGUGGGGGGGGUGGAUGUAUGCGUUGGGCCACUGGGCCGUCAGGGCAUCUGGCUCGUAGGGGCACAGGGGCAUCUGCAGUGACUGCCGAGCUGACUCCCAUUCCGGCCAACGGGCGGCGGCACCGCGGCAGCAGCGCUGAUGCAGGCACGUGGAUGGGGCUGGGGCUAAACGGAGGGCCCCUUGCGCUCUGAGCCUCGAAGCUGACCGCCCCGCACGCCACAGGAACUCUGCCCUUGCACAGGGAGCCACCCCACGUGGGGACAGUGGCCUGAUGCCCAAGUCAACAGGCUGUACCUCUGGUAACUGUGGUGCCUGCCGGGGUAACACUCCCACCACUGAAGGCGGUGUGAUGCCAGAGGCCUUUUAGAGACAGGUUCAGGGCCCAGUUUUUCCUCCCAAAGCAGAGAGGAGACACCUGGUGAUAUCACUCUGUCUGCUGCCUUCCCCCUCCCCCCACACAGGCCUCACCCCAAAGGUGAGAAUGUCUGGCAGCCAGGGCAGCUCUGUGAGCAGCAUGUGGGGAGUGGCCUGGAGGCAGAGGAGGCAGGUCUCAAUGCCCAAGUGGCAGACAGAUGGUGUCCAUGACAAUGAAGAGGGGGCAGUGAGGGCAAAGUAAGACCUCGCUACACAGACUGUCCACGCUGGAGAAGAGUCCUCGUGAUCCAGCAAGAUGCUCUGGCCACGAGCACUGUAUGUGUCAAGGCUGCCACGCAUCAGAGAGCCAUUCAGAGCAAGCCGCAGCACCCAGGAAGCCGCCCGGUGUUCCUGAGGACUCACGAGUGCAGGAAGUGUGUCCCCACAAAGCUGCCUGGCAGGAGCACAGACCCAGAGCCCCUAGGAUAAUGCCAUCCGGGCACCUCCGGGUGAUCAGCUGCAAAACCCAGUGGUUAUAAAAUAAACACUACCCUUAACGGAAAGGCAAAGGUCA